UACAGAGGGGGCAAGCGUUGUUCGGAAUUACUGGGCGUAAAGGGCGCGUAGGCGGCCCGCUAAGUCGAACGUGAAAUCCCCCGAGCUCAACUCGGGAACUGCGUCCGAUACUGGCGGGCUUGAAUCCGGGAGAGGGAUGCGGAAUUCCAGGUGUAGCGGUGAAAUGCGUAGAUAUCUGGAGGAACACCGGUGGCGAAGGCGGCAUCCUGGACCGGCAUUGACGCUGAGGCGCGAAAGCUAGGGGAGCAAACGGG
rnacentral:rRNA from 1 species